GUGCCACGAUUCUUUCGUUUGGAGGCAUUCUGCAUUUCGCCGCCGCCUCACUCGUGGCCUGUUACUUCAUGGAGAAGUCUUGCUUGGGGACUCUGGGUACCCGCUAGAGCCAUGGAUCAUGACUCCUUUGCCAGGUCACCCAAAUCGCCUCACGGCAGAGGGGCGCUAUAAUGAGGCACACGCAUCAAUGCGAAAUGCCGUUGAGCGGUGCAUAGGAGUCGUCAAGAGCCGCUUCCGAUGCCUGCAGAGGUAUCGGGUGCUCCACUACUCGCCUCAGAAAGCAGCCACUAUUGUUGCAGCUUGUGCAGCGCUGCAUAACCUCUGCCUUGCAGCAGGCGUGCCUCUGCCAGACGACCCAGAUGACGACGGUGCACAUGACGACAGCGCACAGGGGCCAGCCCAGGCACAAGUGCCGCUUCAAGUACAGGUGCCACCGCAGGCGCACCCUGUACAGCCUUCUCGAGCUUUGUUUCAAAGAGGCCGUGCGGUGCGCGAAUCCAUAGUUGGUGUGUUUCGGCUGCCCAGAAAUUUGCGCAUUGCCUACCUGCAAAGUGUGCGCUGGCGCAUUCGCUGGCAAAUGAGGCGGAGACAUGUGCUGGUGUGACAUGUUUUAUUUUUCUUUUCAUGAAAGUAAAUAGGCCGUGCACUUCAACAUAACACAUUGCGCGUGCUGACAUGUGGCUAAUCAUAGUAUGCUGCAUACUGCAGUAGUGAAAAGCACAUGAUUUGUCUAUGUUGAGCAUGACAGAUACACAUGCAGUGACAAAUAACCAUGUGCCAUUAUGUUACUCCUUUGCUUUGUUCACUGUGCUUUUGAAUAUUGUCUCGCCAGGGAAUUUUCUUUUUAAAUAAAGGUUAUUUCCAAGGUGAAUGGCAA